rnacentral:lncRNA from 1 species
UUACAAAAAUUAGGCUAAAUAUUGUGUUUUGUCUUCUUCAUUUUUCUGAGUUUAUUAUUGCAAACGUAUUCUCGUUUUUAUAUCUACAAAACGAAAAACUAUUUUUCCAAACAUUGACAAACAACCCACAACUUUUUUUUCAAGUGAAAUUAAUUGCUCUUAUAAAAAUGGAGAAUGAAAAAUUGUUAGUUUGGAAAGUGGGUAGGGGAGUGCCAAAAUCACUUCCUUGCUCAUACACAUGUAAAAGUGCUUAUAAGGUUUGUUUGGAAGUCUUUUAAAAUGAAUGAAAAAGUUUUGGUGAAAUUGAUUUUGAUUCCAAUAGCAGUUUGAGUGCUUUUUAGAAGCACCAAAUAUGUACUUUUUGUAUGAAACACUUAAAGCUUUUUUUCAGGAUUCACUUAGAUUUUUACUAAGGAUUUUCAAAAAUAUUUUCACCUAAAGGGCUUUUAAUCAUUUUAAAAGUACUUCCAAACAAACCCUUUAAUACAAACUAGAAUCCCUUUAAGUGGUUUUAUGAGACUUCUAUGAAAACUGCUAUUGACAAAAAUUACUUUUAUAACUUAUUUUUUUUACAAUUACUUUUAUAACUUUAGAACAAGUCAGAAGAAAAGAGAUUUGGGCAUAAAAUUAACUUUCAUGUCGAUGUUAUUGAGUGUUAGAAAUAAUAAAAAAGGAUAUCUUCUUGUUUGAAAAACUUAUAUUG